rnacentral:tRNA from 1 species
GGGGGCGUGGCGGAAUGGUAGACGCUACGGACUUAAAAUCCGUUGACUGUAAAAUGUCGUGUGGGUUCAAGUCCCACCGCCCCCA